UUUGAAAGGGAAACGAUUGAAGUCAGUCGUACCGGCGGGUAAUCAGCCUUUUGGGUGUGAUUAUGUGGGGCGUGAGGAGUUAAUCACCCUCAUCUUUGCAUAUUCGUGCACUUUGGGUGUACUUGCUCGUGUGGUAGGUUAACAUCAAUUUUGAUUAUCAUAAAAUGAUUGAAGGAAUGUAGCUUCGAUCUUGUAUUGAAGUGUUAUAGCCUUUGGUAGAUGUGAUGAUCGAGAUUGAGGAUUGCAACGGAUACCCUUCGGGCUGCCUGUCUGAUCUCUGAAAGUUGCUCUGGUGCUGAAAGCUUGCUUAUGGUAUCAAAGUGACGUCAAUAGCUG
rnacentral:rRNA from 1 species